rnacentral:rRNA from 1 species
GAUGAACGCUGGCGGCGUGCCUAAUACAUGCAAGUCGAGCGAACGGACGAGAAGCUUGCUUCUCUGAUGUUAGCGGCGGACGGGUGAGUAACACGUGGAUAACCUACCUAUAUGACUGGGAUAACUUCGGGAAACCGGUGCUACUACCGGGUAAUAUUUUGAACCGCAUGGUUCAAAAGUGAAAGACGGUCUUGCUGUCACUUAUAGAUGGAUCCGCGCUGCAUUAGCUAGUUGGUAAGGUAACGGCUUACCAAGGCAACGAUGCAUAGCCGAACUGCGAGGGUGAUAGGCCACACUGGAACUGAGACACGGACAAUGCUCCUGCGAGAGGCACCAGAAGGGAAUGUGCCGCAAUGGGCGAGAGCCUGACGGAGCGACGGCGAGUGUGUGAUGGAGGUCUUGGGAUCGUGAAACUCUGUUAUGAGUGAAGAACAUAUGUGUACGGAACUGAGCACAUCGUGACGGUACCUAAUCAGAAAGCCCCGGCUAACUACGUG